rnacentral:rRNA from 1 species
AACGAACGCUGGCGGCGCGCCUAAUACAUGCAAGUCGAGCGAGAAGACGUAGCAAUACGUUUGUAAAGCGGCGAACGGGUGAGGAAUACAUGGGUAACCUACCCUCGAGUGGGGAAUAACUAGCCGAAAGGUUAGCUAAUACCGCAUACGACUCUCGAUCUUCGGAUCGGGAGGGAAAGCGAUACCGUGGGUAUCGCGCUCUUGGAUGGGCUCAUGUCCUAUCAGCUUGUUGGUGAGGUAACGGCUCACCAAGGCUUCGACGGGUAGCUGGUCUGAGAGGACGAUCAGCCACACUGGCACUGCGACACGGGCCAGACUCCUACGGGAGGCAGCAGUAAGGAAUAUUGCGCAAUGGGCGACAGCCUGACGCAGCGACGCCGCGUGGGGGAUGAAGGUCUUCGGAUUGUAAACCCCUUUCGGCAGGGAAGAUGGAACGGGUAACCGUUCGGACGGUACCUGCAGAAGCAGCCACGGCUAACUUCGUGCCAGCAGCCGCAGUAACAC